GAAACUAAACCAAGAAGAUAGAUUUCCAUCCUCUUUCCAUAACACUUCCUGGAAAGCCAAACAGCAGGGUCCUUAGCAGAGCAUCUCCAUGACUCCAUCCUUUUCUUUUUUUUUUCUUUGUUCUUUUCUUAUCUGUCUGAGAGAGAACUAGUCAAUGAUUAGGCAAAAGACAUUGGGGACCUUGUCUUCCACUAAGCAUUUGAGCAAGAAAAAAAUAGUAACAAUAAAAAGAAAAAGAGAUUCCAAAGAAAACAAGUCUUUGCCUUGAGAGUUUCUACUUUCUAUGUUCAACUACUGUUUUUGUAUUCAGAAGGAGAAUUAUAAUCUGCAUGCAUUCUAAAGAAGAUAAGUGAAAGUCUUUUUGUUUUUUUAAUUUCCUGGCCUUCUGAUCGUUGCAGUGCAAAGUUUAUUAUAUCUUCUUCAGUUUUCUUCGAACUCAAAAAAAAAAAAAACUUCACCGACUUUGUCAGUGUCUGUAAUACAUUUUGGCUGGAUCAAAAUAGAAGCUCUGUCCGGACUCCUCAAAGUUCAUGUAUAUUUCCUUUGGUAUGUAAAUGUUCAUCCUCUUCUUCUGUGGUUUAUUUGUCUUGGCUUUACAUUUGAGUUUAGAUAUUUGAAAGUUUAGAUGCAUUGACACGUAUUUUCUAUUGUCAAAUUAAGUUAUUCUUUUCAUCUUAGAUUGACAGAUAUUUGUUGUUUCUUAAUUCCCUUUGCUAGUGGGCUUCUGGUUAUUGCAGUACAAACUUGAUUUCUACUUGAGUUUUCUUCGAUCACUUAUGAAAAGCUUGGCCUUGGCUCGUGAAACUUCAUCUUUCCUUGUUAAACUACACCCAUGGCAUUUGUGUGAAGCAGAGAGCUAGAAACUUUGUGUGUCUCUUACCCUUUCACAUUCAAGUGGUGAGAAUAGAGAGUGCAAAGUUUAUUUCUACUCCAGUUUUUUCUGAACUUAAAAAGAUAAAAAACGAACUUCACCGACUUUGUGAGAUUGCGUGGAUCAAAAUAGAAGCUGCUCUGUCUUGCUCCUGAAACUUCAUCUAUAGCUUUCCUUGCAUUCUCAAUUUUCAAGUUGGUUGAUCGACAAUUGUUCUAUUGUGAUUCACAUAUUU